rnacentral:rRNA from 1 species
AUUGAACGCUGGCGGCAGGCCUAACACAUGCAAGUCGAGCGGAUGACGGGAGCUUGCUCCUUGAUUCAGCGGCGGACGGGUGAGUAAUGCCUAGGAAUCUGCCUGGUAGUGGGGGACAACGUUUCGAAAGGAACGCUAAUACCGCAUACGUCCUACGGGAGAAAGCAGGGGACCUUCGGGCCUUGCGCUAUCAGAUGAGCCUAGGUCGGAUUAGCUAGUAGGUGAGGUAAUGGCUCACCUAGGCGACGAUCCGUAACUGGUCUGAGAGGAUGAUCAGUCACCCUGGAACGGAGACACGGUCCAGACUCCGACGGGAGGCAGCAGUGGGGAAUAUUGGACAGCGGGGGAAACCCUGAUCUAGCCAUGCCGCGUGAUCGAUGAAGGCCUUAGGGUUGUAAAGAUCUUUCAGUGGGGAGGAAGGGCAGUAAGUUAAUACCUUGCUGUUUUGACGUUACCGACAGAAUAAGCACCGGCUAACUCUGUGCCAGCAGCCGCCGUAAUAC